rnacentral:rRNA from 1 species
GACAGAGGAUGCAAGCGUUAUCCGGAAUGAUUGGGCGUAAAGCGUCUGUAGGUGGCUUUUUAAGUCCGCCGUCAAAUCCCAGGGCUCAACCCUGGACAGGCGGUGGAAACUACCAAGCUGGAGUACGGUAGGGGCAGGAGGGAAUUUCCGGUGGAGCGGUGGAAUGCGCAGAUAUCAGGAGGAACACCAAUGGCGAAGGCAGAUCUCUGGGCCGUAACUGACGCUGAGGUGCGAAAGCGUGGGGAGCAAACAGG